rnacentral:lncRNA from 1 species
GGAGUUAUUGCCCUUCAUAGUCAAUUUUUAACAAUUUUCUUAAAAUUUGAAGAUUUUCAAUAACUUUUUCCACAGAAAGUACUGUUAUAGAUAGAGAUAAUUGUAAGCAGCAAGAAUGUUUGGUAAAGUAAGAUCUACAAACACAUCACCAUCACCAAAACACAAUUUUGUCAUGAAUCCAUCUGUGUCCAUUGUUUACUAUUCACAUAGACCAAGGUGAGCGACACAGGCUCUUUAGAGCCUCUAGUUUUA